rnacentral:rRNA from 1 species
GGCGUGCCUAAUACAUGCAAGUCGAACGAACUCUGGUAUUGAUUGGUGCUUGCAUCAUGAUUUACAUUUGAGUGAGUGGCGAACUGGUGAGUAACACGUGGGAAACCUGCCCAGAAGCGGGGGAUAACACCUGGAAACAGAUGCUAAUACCGCAUAACAACUUGGACCGCAUGGUCCGAGUUUGAAAGAUGGCUUCGGCUAUCACUUUUGGAUGGUCCCGCGGCGUAUUAGCUAGAUGGUGAGGUAACGGCUCACCAUGGCAAUGAUACGUAGCCGACCUGAGAGGGUAAUCGGCCACAUUGGGACUGAGACACGGCCCAAACUCCUACGGGAGGCAGCAGUAGGGAAUCUUCCACAAUGGACGAAAGUCUGAUGGAGCAACGCCGCGUGAGUGAAGAAGGGUUUCGGCUCGUAAAACUCUGUUGUUAAAGAAGAACAUAUCUGAGAGUAACUGUUCAGGUAUUGACGGUAUUUAACCAGAAAGCCACGGCUAACUACGUGCCAGCAGCCGCGGUAAUACGUAGGUGGCAAGCGUUGUCCGGAUUUAUUGGGCGUAAAGCGAGCGCAGGCGGUUUUUUAAGUCUGAUGUGAAAGCCUUCGGCUCAACCGAAGAAGUGCAUCGGAAACUGGGAAACUUGAGUGCAGAAGAGGACAGUGGAACUCCAUGUGUAGCGGUGAAAUGCGUAGAUAUAUGGAAGAACACCAGUGGCGAAGGCGGCUGUCUGGUCUGUAACUGACGCUGAGGCUCGAAAGUAUGGGUAGCAAACAGGAUUAGAUACCCUGGUAGUCCAUACCGUAAACGAUGAAUGCUAAGUGUUGGAGGGUUUCCGCCCUUCAGUGCUGCAGCUAACGCAUUAAGCAUUCCGCCUGGGGAGUACGGCCGCAAGGCUGAAACUCAAAGGAAUUGACGGGGGCCCGCACAAGCGGUGGAGCAUGUGGUUUAAUUCGAAGCUACGCGAAGAACCUUACCAGGUCUUGACAUACUAUGCAAAUCUAAGAGAUUAGACGUUCCCUUCGGGGACAUGGAUACAGGUGGUGCAUGGUUGUCGUCAGCUCGUGUCGUGAGAUGUUGGGUUAAGUCCCGCAACGAGCGCAACCCUUAUUAUCAGUUGCCAGCAUUAAGUUGGGCACUCUGGUGAGACUGCCGGUGACAAACCGGAGGAAGGUGGGGAUGACGUCAAAUCAUCAUGCCCCUUAUGACCUGGGCUACACACGUGCUACAAUGGAUGGUACAACGAGUUGCGAACUCGCGAGAGUAAGCUAAUCUCUUAAAGCCAUUCUCAGUUCGGAUUGUAGGCUGCAACUCGCCUACAUGAAGUCGGAAUCGCUAGUAAUCGCGGAUCAGCAUGCCGCGGUGAAUACGUUCCCGGGCCUUGUACACACCGCCCGUCACACCAUGAGAGUUUGUAACACCCAAAGUCGGUGGGGUAACCUUUUAGGAACCAGCCGCCUAAG